rnacentral:rRNA from 1 species
CCUGGCUCAGGAUGAACGCUAGCUACAGGCUUAACACAUGCAAGUCGAGGGGCAGCAUUGGGAUAGCUUGCUAUUCAGAUGGCGACCGGCGCACGGGUGAGUAACGCGUAUCCAACCUUCCUGCCAGUAGGGAACAGCCCGGCGAAAGUCGGAUUAAUGCCCUAUGUUCUUCAAUGCGGACAUCUAAGUUGAAGGAAAGAUUCAUCGCUGGCAGAUGGGGAUGCGUCCGAUUAGCUUGCCGGCGGGGUAACGGCCCACCGGGGCGACGAUCGGUAGGGGUUCUGAGAGGAAGGUCCCCCACACUGGUACUGAGACACGGACCAGACUCCUACGGGAGGCAGCAGUGAGGAAUAUUGGUCAAUGGGCGUAAGCCUGAACCAGCCAAGUAGCGUGCAGGAUGACGGCCCUACGGGUUGUAAACUGCUUUUAUGCGGGGAUAAAGUGCGGCACGUGUGCCGCUUUGCAGGUACCGCAUGAAUAAGGACCGGCUAAUUCCGUGCCAGCAGCUGC